GGGACACACGGAGCCAGAGCCAGGGCACGGCGGGGGACACGGAGCCAGAGCCGGGGCACGGCGGGGGACACACGGAGCCAGAGCCGGGCAGCCCGGGCUCACGGCCGGCCGGAGCGGCAGGACGGAGGCUGCUGGGCCCCCGGGACACCGGAGCGCCCCGGGAAGGGGCCCGCAGCGCUGGCACGUGUGUGAAUCCCUCUCCAGAAGAAUCCUGUUCCUGCUGGAAGCACGACGGAGCCGCGGCCGGAGGGGAGGGUGCUGGGUGUGCCGGGGGUCCCUGGGGAGAGAUCCCUGCGCCGUGCCCGAUCCCAGGGGUGGCAACAGGGCCGGCCUGGCCUUGCCAGAGCCUCUGGGACAGUGGCGCUGGUUCUUCUCCACCCAGAUGGAAACUGGGGGCUGAUAACCCCGGGGUGUUUCACCCCAAAUCCCACCGACACCCUGGGCAGCUGCACUGAAGGAGCCUGUUGGAGCAGGAGCGGCUGGGAGCUGUCACCCCGAGUGCAGCCACGUUGUUUGGGGUGACCUUAUGGGGACAGGGCUGGAGUAAACCCUGGUGCAGCCCAGGCACCUCCACCAGACGUCCUGAGGUGUCCCAGCUGUUCCCAGGCGUGCCCAGGGCCAGGAUGUGCUGCGCUCCUGGCCUGGCAGAGGCAGGAAGGUGCCUGGAGAGGGUGACAAGGAGGGGACCAGGCACCCACCACCCCCGGGUGACGCUCAGAUGGGACCCUGUGGAAGCAGGGUCUGAACCUCUGUCAGGAGACAUGGAUGUCCAUGCUGGGAGACUGCUGGCACCGGCAAGAGGCUUAACUUUAAAAAAAAAAAAAAAGGUUUAUUUAUUUCAAGA